rnacentral:rRNA from 1 species
CACGUGGCCAAACUACCCUACAGACCGCGAUAACCUCGGGAAACUGAGGCCAAUAGCGGAUAUUACUCUCAGGCUGGAGUGCCGAGAGUGAGAAACGUUCCGGCGCUGUAGGAUGUGGCUGCGGCCGAUUAGGUAGAUGGUGGGGUAACGGCCCACCAUGCCGAUAAUCGGUACAGGUUGUGAGAGCAAGAGCUUGGAGACGGUAUCUGAGACAAGAUACCGGGCCCUACGGGGCGCAGCAGGCGCGAAACCUUUACACUGCACGACAGUGCGAUAGGGGGACUCCGAGUGUGAGGGCAUAUAGCCCUCGCUUUUCUGAACCGUAAGGUGGU